AUGGUACCGCAGAGGCAGUACCAUGGCCAAUGAGGUAAAUCCAAGGUGUGGUUAUUGCUAGUUGGAAACUAAUAAUAAUAAUAAUAAUAAUAAUAAUAAUAAUAAUUAUCCUUUCUAUUAAAGGCACAAGGCCU